rnacentral:rRNA from 1 species
CCUACGGGAGGCAGCAGUGGGGAAUAUUGGACAAUGGGGGCAACCCUGAUCCAGCCAUGCCGCGUGUGUGAAGAAGGCCCUCGGGUUGUAAAGCACUUUCAGUGAGGAAGAACGCCUGGUGGUUAAUACCCAUCAGGAAAGACAUCACUCACAGAAGAAGCACCGGCUAACUCCGUGCCAGCAGCCGCGGUAAUACGGAGGGUGCGAGCGUUAAUCGGAAUUACUGGGCGUAAAGCGCGCGUAGGUGGCUUGAUAAGCCGGUUGUGAAAGCCCCGGGCUCAACCUGGGAACGGCAUCCGGAACUGUCAAGUUAGAGUGAAGGAGAGGAAGGUAGAAUUCACGGUGUAGCGGUGAAAUGCGUAGAGAUCGGGAGGAAUACCAGUGGCGAAGGCGGCCUUCUGGACUGACACUGACACUGAGGUGCGAAAGCGUGGGUAGCAAACAGGAUUAGAUACCCUGGUAGUC